rnacentral:lncRNA from 1 species
CUGCUGGCAGAGGCUGGCUUCAGUGUGACUUGUGCAACAUGAGACGCUUCUAGAAGAUGGGAGGAAAACAUGAUACAAGGGUAUAAGGAAAUUCACUCAGUACUGCAGAGACAGCAUGGAAGACAAAGACUCAGUCUCUGUGUUUCUGAAAGGUCUUCUCGAACCAUAUCCACCCACUUCUCAAUUUCUACCACAAAAGUAGAAAACAUAACCUUGAUUUUCACUUUCUGUCCUGUAACUAUAAAAGGUUUCAAAGUCAUCUGUAGAAGGUAAUUUGGGUCCUCACUUCCAUAUUCUCUGACUUCCUCUAAUAGAAAGUAGGAGAAUGUGGCAGUACUGUAUAUUACAAUGUUAGGACUACUUAACAUAACGCUGCUUUAAAAGACCAGAAUUUGAGAUGGGUGAAAGGGCAGGGGCAAGUUUGAUUAUUCCUAACAUCUACGAGGAAGCCUCUGUCUUCCCCAUAGGAAGCUGUCCUUUCUUCUCUAUUAGUUAUAUAGGAAUAAGAAUCUAGAGGAAGCUUUAAACAUUCAUAUUGGAGUUAAGAAUUAAAGACACUGAGAUGAUUAGUGUGUGGAUAACCUGAAAUACUUUAUGGCUCAUUCACCAUUUCAACAUCAACAAGAGGAGAACAACACAAAUACGGCAAACUGUCUAGCUGCUCAAGAAAAUGGUGCCCCCUUCCUCCCAGGCACACAGCUGGACACAUUUCCCAAAAUCUCUCUAGGUGGGCCAUGUGACGGAGUUCUGUCCAAAGGAACAUGGGCGGAAGAGAUAUGCACCACUUCCAGGCCUGACCCAGAAACAUUUUCCACGCAGACUUUUCCUUCUUUUCCUAUGUGCUCUUUCAACAAAGAGGGCUCUAUGGACUGAGAGAAAGGCAGAGCCCCAAGAGGAAGGAGCCUGGGUCACAGAAAGACUAGGUGGAAAGCUGUCCACUGACCACAAACAUCCACAUGGGACAUUAUAUGAGAGAGAAAUAAACCUGGGAAUAGUUACUUAACUUCUUUGGGUCCUAGUCUCUGGGCAAAGAGGAAAAGCUCAAUAAAUAUCAGCUGACAUUAUAUUAGGAAAUAAAGUUUACUUCCCCUUAAUUUCUUUUUCUUAGGCAAGGCGGAGCACCGGGGGCGAGUGGGAUUGGUGAAAAGCACUAAAUGACAUUUGCCUAUUACAAAAUGCUAAUUGGUACAUUUAAAUAAGAUGACAUU